rnacentral:rRNA from 1 species
UACGUAGGGGGGCGAGCGUUGUCCGAAGUUACUGGGCGUAAAGCGCACGUAGGCGGUUAUCUAAGUCUGGGGUGAAAGGUUCAGUGCUUAACGCGAACAGUGCCUUGGAGACUGGAUGACUUUGGAGUUUGGGAGAGGGUAGUGGAAUGGCUGGUGUAGCGGUGAAAUGCGUAGAUAUCAGUCGGAACACCAAUGGCGAAGGCAGCUACCUGGCCUAAAACUGACGCUGAGGUGCGAAAGCGUGGGGAGCGAACGGG